GCGGGCGUGCCGGAACCAGGUAGACGGGCACGGCUCAGGACCGUGUGCUCUUCGGAGCGUGGAGGUUCGAUUCCUCUCGCCCGCA
rnacentral:tRNA from 1 species